UCGUGAGUGUUGUUUAUUUCUCAAAACCAAGUCUUUGCCAAAAUAAAAGCAGAAGAGUGUUGUAUGAGUUUCCCUUUUGACGACUUUAUUUUUUUGACCAUGGUCCUCGAUGUUUCCCUUCCCGAUGACCCUGGCAUACUCUCGAACUUCGAAUCUCACUCAACCAAUGACCAAUGGCUCACUUUCGGACAUCGAACCUUGCCUAAACGCCGACCACGGCUUACGUAUGGACUCCGACCCGAGCCCCAAUGUUGACCCCAGCCCGAUUUUGGAUAAUGCAACCAGAAAUUCUUCAAUCUCAUGAGGGACCUAUGAUGUGUAUCAAUUGUAUAGCUGACAUGAUGCAGAGGAGGCGACAUAGCCUAGAGCUUAUUAAGUUCAGUUGGUUAUAACGUCAGUGGAUGACUCCUCAGCUGAUUGGUAACAGCAGUGUAUGUUGUCACUCAUGUUAGACCGUGCCGUGACCACGGUGUGGCUCUGCACCAAUCAAGGACAAAUAAUAUUUCAAAUGAAGAAGCAACCACUAGCACUGGUCACAGUUAACGUGGAUUAUCUUUGUUACAAAUACGUUCCAUAGACUGCAUAUUAACACGGAAAGAGAAUCACAUAUU